rnacentral:rRNA from 1 species
UACGAAGGGGGCUAGCGUUGCUCGGAAUCACUGGGCGUAAAGGGCGCGUAGGCGGAUGAGCAAGUCUGUGGUGAAAUCCCCCGGCUUAACCGGGGAACUGCCGUGGAUACUGCCCAUCUCGAGGAAGAUAGGGGCGUCUGGAACUAGCGGUGGAGCGGUGAAAUGCGCAGAUAUCAGGAGGAACACCGGUGGCGAAGGCGGGUCUCUGGGCCGAUACUGACGCUGAGGAGCGAAAGCGUGGGGAGCGAACAGG